AGUGAACGCUGGCGGUAGGCCUAACACAUGCAAGUCGAACGGCAGCACAGUAAGAGCUUGCUCUUACGGGUGGCGAGUGGCGGACGGGUGAGGAAUACAUCGGAAUCUACUUUUUCGUGGGGGAUAACGUAGGGAAACUUACGCUAAUACCGCAUACGACCUACGGGUGAAAGCAGGGGAUCUUCGGACCUUGCGCGACUGAAUGAGCCAAUGUCGGAUUAGCUAGUUGGCGGGGUAAAGGCCCACCAAGGCGACGAUCCGUAGCUGGUCUGAGAGGAUGAUCAGCCACACUGGAACUGAGACACGGUCCAGACUCCUACGGGAGGCAGCAGUGGGGAAUAUUGGACAAUGGGCGCAAGCCUGAUCCAGCCAUACCGCGUGGGUGAAGAAGGCCUUCGGGUUGUAAAGCCCUUUUGUUGGGAAAGAAAAGCAGCAGGUUAAUACCCCGCUGUUCUGACGGUACCCAAAGAAUAAGCACCGGCUAACUUCGUG
rnacentral:rRNA from 1 species